rnacentral:tRNA from 1 species
UGUAAAGAUAACAAAAGGUCUGUUACCAGACUCAUAAUCUGGGAUUACGAGUUCGAUUCUCGUCUUUACUU